GUCGAACGCUGGCGGCGUGCCUAAUACAUGCAAGUAGGACGCAGUUGCGAACGGGGGAGUAACGCGUAGGUCACUACCUAUUAGAGGGGGCUAACUAUUGGCAACGAUAGCUAAUACCGCAUACUAGUAGAUGGACCUGCGUUGUAUUAGCUAGUAGGUAGGGUAAUGGCCUACCUAGGCAAAGAUACAUAGCCGACCUUGUAGGGGGGACGGCCAAAAUGGGAAUGAGACAAGGGCCCAGCUCCUACGGGAGGGAGCAGGAGGGGAACUUCGGCAAUGGGGGGCAACCUGACCGAGGAACGGCGCGUGGGUGAAGAAAGGUUUCGGGUCGUAAAGGUCUGUUGUUAAGGGAGCGGUACUUGACCAGAAAGGGACGGCUAACUACGUGCCAGCCGCCGCGGUAAUUC
rnacentral:rRNA from 1 species